GGUCUGAACUCAGAUCACGUAAGAUUUUAAAAGUCGAACAGACUUAAAAAUUUANACAGCUGCACCUAAAUUUUAUCUUAAUCCAACAUCGAGGUCGCAAUCUUUUUUAUUGAUAUGAACUCUCCAAAAAAAUUACGCUGUUAUCCCUAAAGUAACUUAAUUUUAUAAUCACUAAAAAUGGAUCAAUUAUUCAUAAAUCAAUGAUUUAAAUUAUUAAAAGUUUAUCAAAUUUUAAUAUCACCCCAACACAAUAUAUAAAUAAUAUUAUAAUCUAAAUAAUCUACAAAAUUAAAAUAAACUAUAUAUAAAGAUUUAUAGGGUCUUCUCGUCUUUUAAUUAAAUUUUAGCUUUUUGACUAAAAAAUAAAAUUCUAUUAUAAAUUUAAUUG
rnacentral:rRNA from 1 species